CUCCCUCAUCCAAAAUUUCACAUUCCCACUAAUCCCCCUUGUCGUCGUUGCUGUGCCCGCUAUUCCCCCUAUCGCCGCUACUGUGCUUCCACGAUCGGGUUUGUAUUUCCUUGCAGGCAUCUCGGCAUCGGACACGAAGAGCACUUGCUUCAUCCCAUCACUGACGACACUCCGCAUCUGCCUCCUUCCAGGUACGCAGUUGUCUUGCUUCCCUCGGCAUCGCCUCUGACCCCCUAAUAAUCGGGCCGCCGCCGCUUCGCUAGCGGCUUUGGCUCCCGUCUCGAAGCCCUUCCACAAGCGUCGCCGCCUUUGCUGCGCCGUCCUCAAAGACAACGCCCCUCCGGAGGAGAUGCAGCAGCAAAGUCCAGGAGAGGGAGUCGGCACAACUAUUGAAGAAAGGCCUGGUUGCUGAUGGAUAUGGUAAUAUGUUGGUAACUACAAUUGGAAUAAAUACUGAAUGGGGUUUGUUGAUGGCUAGUAUUUCAGAGGAUACUGGUGGAGAAACUCCAUUGUAGUUUUUUUCUGAAUUGUGAAUUCUAUUUUAUGCCCCGUGCAAAUUUUGCUGUCAAGCCUACUUUUUUUCUUGCUUAUAGGUACGCUUGAAUGGUGUUGCUACUUUCAUUGGCAUAGUAGGGCUGACUAUAGCUGCUGGUGUUCUAGUAGUCCUGCUGGUUAUAUACUUUACUUGGACAUACAAAGAACCCGGAUGGAUCUAUUCAAUUCAUAAAGGGACAGACAGCUUGCCUUAUUCAAUGCGGAAGAUGAUGACAGACAAAGCCUUGGUAAGAAUGCUUUCAGUGUGUGAAACUAUGGGUUCAACAACAACUAUUUGUAGCAACUAGAUUAGAACUUUGACCUUGAAUCAGGGUUGCUAUUGAAGGUUGGAGCAAAUGCCUUUGUGUCGCGUGGAGCAAAUGUCUUUUGUCGCUUGGAGCAAAUACCUUUUGAUGUUUUUUUGGGUGGAGAAAAUUUGUUAUUGAAGGUUGUAUUGUAUAUAUUUUGGAGAUUGAAGAAAGUAUUGUGUUAGUGUUAUAGUGUAGAGUUAAUGUUAUGUGUUAUGAAUAUUUUGAAAUGAAUUAUAAAUAUUAUGUGUUGAUUUGAUAA